AGUGUAUAGUAGAAGCAGCAGCAGCAGCAGCAGCAGCAGCAGCAGCAGCAGCAGGAGCUAGGAAUCUCUUAAUUGCUUUGUGCUUGUCAAGAUUAUGCAACUUUCCAGAAUUCAAGAUCAUGGAAAACUGCCAGAAGGAAAUGGGUCUUCUCCUCUCCCAAAUGGUCCCAUAACUAGUCUGGCCACCUUGAGCCAUCCAAGAGGAGAAUGUGGUCAGGGACCGUGACUCAGCUUAAGAAGCUACAUUUAUAUCUAUAUCUACACACAUGUUCUACCGACUAUGACCACAC
rnacentral:lncRNA from 1 species